GGCAUCCAGCAUGCCGUCACCUGCUCACGCAUGGGUCCUCUCUAUGGAUCCCUAGGUUCCCGCUCCCUGCCCUCAGGGUAGAAUCUCAAUCCUUGAGCUGAUCAUCAAAGUUUCCCUUCUGCCUCCAGCAAAGGCUCAAAAGAAGAUUCAGAGGCACUAGGAAGAGGAGGUAGCUGUCCCAUGGCCUCCACUGGGAAAAGAAAGAGAAGCAUCAGUGUGUUGAGUCGCUAAAGAAGCAGUCUUUCCAAGACGCUAUGGGCAGUCCUUAUCUUAUGGGAAGACUGGAAGACUGAAUGUCCAGCAGUAGACUGAAUAGGCAGCGAAAGACAGUGAACACGCUGUUAUGUGUCUUAAGAAUUAAGAUGAGUUGGGAGAUGGCGCAGUCAUCUAGGCGCUUGCCCUGCAAACACAAGAACUUGAUUUUAAAUCCUUGUCAUAUGUCACCACCCAUGUGACAAGCCAAGUGUGUCACCGUGCAUCUGGAAUGUCAGUGACGGGCAGCCCACUUGCUUACACCACCCAGCUCAUGGAGCCAAACCGGUGAGCUCCAGGGUCACCGAGAGACUCUGUCUCAAAAAACAAGCUUCAACUCAAGAUUCAUUGGCCAUGUUGCUCUGGGCUAUGGUAAGGCAGUGUACCACGGUAUAUGGAAGAGCAAAAUCUCUAACUUCAAGGCCAGAAGAAAAGGAAAGGGAGGAAGAGAACAGGCUCCCACAACCCCUUUUGUGCUUACAUGAAUCAGUGGCACAAGGAUAUCCCAUUAGGUCCCACCACCUCCCAAUAGCACUGUGUUAACAGAUCAAGCCUUCUCCACGUGAGCCUUUGGGGACAGUCCAGUCCAAGUAAGAGCAACUGCUGUUAUGGCUACAUGGAAUUGAGAGGUUGGCAGAAGCAAGUCUUAGAGAAUCACCCAAAAGAGUGGCACACAAGGGAAUCUAAGCAAGAGGAUACCAUGAGAAGGUGUAAGGAAUGGAAGGGGGUCCCUAGAACAGAGCCAGCCUUGCCCCAAGGGCUUUGCAGAACAGAGGACAGGAUACGUACUAGCACAGGUCUGUCCUUCAGAUGUGGAGACUCAGGGAUGGAACAGCAGAGAAAGGCAGACUAAGUGAGCUGUCUCCAGAAGCAUCAGAUGGUGGCCAGGAUGGCGGGCAGGUGAACUGCUUUCAACAAAUAACCAGUUAAGUUGAUAGAAAAAGUAUCAAGUGAAUUACUUGAAAUUCACAAAUCAACUCAUUCCAAGGAAUGGAACUAUAACCUGUACAAUGGCUGCAAAUCCAUCAAGGUCCAGGAACAGGGUAACAGAGCUGUAGAAUUGAUACGAAAAAUGACAAAGCCUAAUGCAGGUUAUUGUUAUGAUGCCAUUGUUUCCCUGCACUCCAUUGUCAGAUUUGUUUAUUGUG